CCUAACCAAAUUUAAUCUCCUCAACCGUAACACUCCUUUUACGGCGACCUCUUUCUCCCCCUUCCCGUUCUCAUAGCUUUUCGAUUGGGAACAAAUUGACUAGGAUCAAAUUCUUGUGUCCUUAAUUAAUCGAUUUUGAUGCGGUAGAUUCCAAUUUUUUUCUUUAGGGAUUUUAUUGGGUUUCAAAUUCUUGGAAGAAUUCUAGGGUUUGAGACACAAUAAAGGCCAUGGAGACCUUGAAAGAUCUGAUUGAAGAAGUAAAAGUUCGAACGGUUUGGUGGGGUUUGUGUAUAUUUGCUCUCUGUUACUUUUUAACACGUAAGUUCAAUUUCAAUUUCUCUUUUUUUUUCUUCACAUCAUGUAUCUUCUUAGUAGGAAAAUACACUACCCAUUAGGGUCUUUCUGGGUACUCCGCUAGUUUUCAAUUUUUGCUCAUCUAAUUCAUGAUAAUUUGAUGCAAGUGUAAUUAUAUGGGAUUACUUUCAUUGUUUUGAUCACAGUAAUUACAUACUUUUUUGGCGUUCCUUUGAUGAGUUUGAUCAAUGGCCAUGAAAAGACUUUUUUCUAAUUUAGUUUAAGUUGUAUACACAUAAGCAAAGAUAUCUUUGUUGGGUGAAUAGGGUGUGUUGGACAUUUACAUGGCUGGAGGAGAAAGAGGGUAUGAAGCCACGUUGGGUUGAAAAUAAUAUUUAUUUUUUAUUCCAGUCAAAGAUUGCCACGCGGACCAAUUAAAAAUUGUCAUGUCAUUAAAUGAAAGACCAUCAGUUCCGCCGUUAGUCGCUGGGGUAUUUUUGUUAAUAGAAUAAACUUCCUAUUUUUUUUGACCUGAUAGAUGGACGGAGUGUAUUUUUUUGAACGGAUAGGUGGAUGGAGGGUAUUUAUAAACCAUUUAGCAAACGAUAGGGAUAUUUUUUGCCCUUUUCCGAUUGAACUAUUACUCCCCCAACAUGUCCCCUCCCCUUUUAUCUGUUUAAAUUCUUGUUCUCUUUCAGUUAUUCCACAUAUAUCUGUACAUGUUGUUCGUGGUAGGUCCAGUUUAGUCUCGUCACUACCUCGCCGAGGUUAAGCCUGGCGCUUACCAGCACAUGGGGUCGGUUGUGCUGAUACUACACUUCUGGGCCUUUUGUGCAUAGGUCAUGACAUAGCCUACGGACCGCAACAGUAGUUAGGGGGCGAUCCUUCAGUCCAGAGACUCUGAGUUAGUUCGUUGGCGUUCGCGGGCCCUGAGUCUACUCUAUCUCUUCUAGUUUGUUUUUAUUGUAUCAAAAUAGACAUGUGAUGUAUUUCUUUCAGACUAUUAUUUUUAGUACUCUUCUAGUCCUCCGUGAGUAGUGACAUCAGAUACUAGGUAGAGACAUGUUGUUAAUUUCUGC
rnacentral:lncRNA from 1 species